GAUGAACGCUAGCGGGAGGCUUAACACAUGCAAGUCGAGGGGCAGCAUAGGGUAGCAAUACUCUGAUGGCGACCGGCGCACGGGUGAGUAACACGUAUGCAACCUACCCUGUACAGGGGGAUAACCCGGAGAAAUUCGGACUAAUAUCCCAUAAUGAUAUUGAGGGGCAUCCUUUAAAAUUUAAAGCUCAGGCGGUACGGGAUGGGCAUGCGGAACAUUAGCUAGUUGGGAGGGUAACGGCCUACCAAGGCAACGAUGUUUAGGGGACCUGGGAGGGUGAUCCCCCACACUGGUACUGAGACACGGACCAGACUCCUACGGGAGGCAGCAGUGAGGAAUAUUGGUCAAUGGGCGCAAGCCUGAACCAGCCAUCCCGCGUGCAGGAAGACGGCCCUAUGGGUUGUAAACUGCUUUUCCAGGGGGAGAAUUUUUCUGUCGUGACAGGAAUUGACGGUACCCUGGGAAUAAGCAUCGGCUAACUCCAUGCCAGCCGCCGCCGUAA
rnacentral:rRNA from 1 species